rnacentral:rRNA from 1 species
AGGCCGACAGGCGUAGUCGAUGGGUAACCAGUUGAUAUUCUGGUACCGGCUUGUCACCGUCCGUGUCGAGGUGUGUGAUGCUAAGCAUGUGAGCUUGUCUUGGGAGUGUUUUUGAUGCUUCUGGGGUGGGUGAGUGUGUGAACCGAUCAUGUAGUAGGCAAGCUGCGGAGGGACGCAGUGAGGUAGCUCAUCCCCGGUGAUGGUUGUCCGGGGCUAAGUGUGUGGACUGUCUGGUAGGUAAAUCCGCUGGGCGUGAAGGUUGAGGCAUGAUGGGGAGCCCAUGGUUGUGGGUGAGUGAGUGAUCCUGUACUGUCGAGAAAAGCUUCGUGAGCGAGGUGGCGGGUCCGCCCGUACCCUAAACCGACACUGGUGGAUAGGUAGAGUAUACCGAGGCGAUCGAGUGAAUCGUGGUGAAGGAACUCGGCAAAAUGCCCCCGUAACUUUGGGAUAAGGGGU